GCUGUGAUGGCCGAGUGGUUAAGGCAUUGGAGUUGAAAUCCAAUAAGGUUCCCUUGCGCAGGUUCAAAUCCUACUCUCAAUGCA